rnacentral:rRNA from 1 species
AUUGAACGCUGGCGGCAUGCCUAACACAUGCAAGUCGAACGAGUGGCGGACGGUUUAUUAAUGUCUGGGAACCUGCCUGAUGGAGGGCUAUAACUACUGGAAGCGGUCGCUACUACCGCCUACCGCCAGAUUUUCCCAGAUGGGAUGAGCUAGUUGGUGGGGUAACGGCUAACCAAGGCGACGAUCCGUAGCUGGUCUGAGAGGAUGACCAGCAACACUGGAACUGAGACACGGUCCAGACUCCUACGGGAGGCAGCAGUGGGGAAUAUUGGACAAUGGGGGAAAGCCUGAUGCAGCCAUGCCGCGUGUAUGAAGAAGGCCUUCGGGUUGUAAAGCACUUUUAGCGGGGAGGCGGUACCUGCAGAAGAAGCACCGGCUAACUACGUGCCAGCAGCCGCGGUAAUAC